rnacentral:rRNA from 1 species
GGCGAGUGGCGAACGGGUGAGUAAUACAUCGGAACGUACCCAGAAGUGGGGGAUAACGCAGCGAAAGUUGCGCUAAUACCGCAUACGUUCUACGGAAGAAAGUGGGGGAUCUUCGGACCUCAUGCUUUUGGAGCGGCCGAUGUCUGAUUAGCUAGUUGGUGGGGUAAAGGCUCACCAAGGCGACGAUCAGUAGCUGGUCUGAGAGGACGACCAGCCACACUGGAACUGAGACACGGUCCAGACUCCUACGGGAGGCAGCAGUGGGGAAUUUUGGACAAUGGGCGCAAGCCUGAUCCAGCAAUGCCGCGUGAGUGAAGAAGGCCUUCGGGUUGUAAAGCUCUUUUGUCAGGGAAGAAACGGCUCCGGCUAAUAUCUGGAGCUAAUGACGGUACCUGAAGAAUAAGCACCGGCUAACUACGUGCCAGCAGCCGCGGUAAUACGUAGGGUGCAAGCGUUAAUCGGAAUUACUGGGCGUAAAGCGUGCGCAGGCGGUUUUGUAAGUCUGUCGUGAAAGCCCCGGGCUCAACCUGGGAAUUGCGAUGGAGACUGCAAGGCUUGAAUCUGGCAGAGGGGGGUAGAAUUCCACGUGUAGCAGCGAAAUGCGUAGAGAUGUGGAGGAACACCGAUG